rnacentral:lncRNA from 1 species
CCUGGUUCUCGCCCCAGGCUGGAUCCACACAGCAGUGUUCUCCCAGUCCUGAAGCUCAGGAAGCCAAAUUGGGAGUGUCCUUUGCAGGGAGAAUAACUCAUUUAGUCCUUUCUCUGCUCCUCACCUUGAAGCCCAGGGGCUGCCAUGGCAGAAAACAAGUCUUAAAGUAUCCAGCCUCCACCCUGAGUACCCUCAAGGUAGAUUUGCUUGAUUCAAACCAAGAAACAUAAGGCAUCUAGGAGGGAAGUGAACAGUCAGACCUAUGUAAGCUGGGAGCUUUGGUGGUAUUGUGUUUGGGAAGUGGUGUUGACCAAGACAUUCUUGGUUUUGAAAGGGACAGGAGGUGGGGUGAGGUAAGUAGAUACCUUUUUCAUUUCUAGAACCACGAAGAUGCCAUGAUAUUUCAUUGAUCCUGAGGCCUGCUCCACAGGACACUGAGGCAGCUGCAUUGGUGCAACUAAAGAUGCUUGGUUACGAAAGAGGACUCCAUAUCUGUUGCAGGAGGCAAGGACAAUGGGGAGCUGGAAUGAGUGGUGCAGAGGAAGCCAGGGAGAUGAGGGGCUAAUCCGAGAUCAAGAUCCAAACUAGAGGGCCCCAUGGGCCAGUGUACCACCAAUAAUCAACAACACAAAACUAAGAGCAGUCACUGUGAUCAAAGAACAAUUUCUUCCUAGGAGACUCAACUCUAUAAAAGUACAAACUGUGUAGCUGCUGGAACUUCCCUGCAGUGUGCUACUGCCUUGGAAACAGUCCUGAGGGCAGACCAAGCAUCAGGGCCUGGACAGCUCCAAUCGUAGGGGACACCACCCUUGGCUACCUCUGGGCUCUGCUUGUUUAGAGAGCUUGAAGUCUCUGCAUGCUUCUUCCCACUGAAUAGCAG